CGCAUGUGACUAAUAAAAUUUGAUUUGAACAUGGCUGACAUGCAAAAAGGUAUAGUGGAGGAGGGUAGCUUGUAAUUUCUCCCUGCCAUUGGGUGUCUUGCAGGGAAAAGAAAAGCCUUCACCAUUCUAUUCCCACAUUCUCUCAACACAUUCUUUUCCCUCUCUACCUCUCAACCCCUCUCUCUCUACACCGCUCCCUCUCUCUCUCUCUCUCUCUCAACCCCUCUCUCUCUACCUCUACAUAUACACCUCUCCACCUCUCUCUCUCUCUACACCGCUCCCUCUCUCUCUCUCUCUCUCUCUCUCUCUCAACCCCUCUCUCUCUCCCUCUACAUAUACACCUCUCCACCUCUCUCCCUCUCUACACCGCUCCCUCUCUCUCCCUCUCUCUCAACCCCUCUCUCUCUACCUCUACACCUCUCUACCUCUCAACCCCUCUCCUCUCUCAACCCCUCUCUCUCUACCUCUACGUAUACACCUCUCUACCUCUCAACCCCUCUCUCUCUACCUCUACGUAUACACCUCUCUACCUCUCAACCCCUCUCUCUCUCUCUACCUCUAUGUAUACACCUCUCUACCUCUCAACCCCUCUCUCUCCCUCUACGUAUACACCUCUCUACCUCUCUCAACCCCUCUCUCUCUACCUCUACGUAUACACCUCUCUACCUCUCAACCCCUCUCUCUCUACCUCUACGUAUACACCUCUCUACCUCUACGUAUAUCUCUCUCUACCUCUCUCUCUCUACCUCUACCGCUCUCUACAUCUCUCUCUACCUCUACCUCUCUCUACCCCUCUCUCUCUACCUCUCUCUCUCUACCUCUCUCUCUCUACCUCUCUCUCUCUACCUCUCUCUCUCUACCUCUAGUCUUCUGUUACACACCUCCUAAUGGCUGCAAACAGACCAUUGCUCCCCACGGGCCCCCUGCCUCUGCCUCUGCCCAGACGGUAAUAUCUAAUGACACCACUCUCAGUCCUCAGAGAGGGAAGGGGGGGGGGAGAGAGAGAGCGGGGGCAUCUAGAUGAUAUCACAGAUAUUACGUUUCACAUUAGUCAUUGCUCAACUGGACAGAGGGACGGACGGACGGACGGACGGAAGGUCGGUGGAGG
rnacentral:lncRNA from 8 species